rnacentral:tRNA from 1 species
GCCCCCGUAGCUCAGGGGAUAGAGCGUCGGUUUCCUAAACCGUGCGUCGCAGGUUCGAAUCCUGCCGGGGGCAC